rnacentral:rRNA from 1 species
AUUGAACGCUGCGGCAGGCUUAACACAUGCAAGUCGAGCGAGCGUCGGACGGGUGAGUAAUGCUUAGGCAUCUGCCUAUUAGUGGGGGACAACAUCCCGAAAGGGAUGCUAAUACCGCAUACUUAUAGAUGAGCCUAAGUCGGAUUCGCUAGUUGGUGGGGUAAAGGCCUACCAAGGCGACGAUCUGUAGCGGGGCUGAGAGGAUGAUCCGCCAAACUGGGACUGGGACACGGCCCAGACUCCUACGGGAGGCAGCAGUGGGGAAUAUUGGGCAAUGGGGGGAACGCUGAUCCAGCCAUGCCGCGUGUGUGAAGAAGGCCUUUGGGUUGUAAAGCACUUUAAGCUAGGAGGCGGUACUCGCAGAGUAAGCACCGGCUAACUACGUGCCAGCAGCCGCGGUAAUAC